rnacentral:rRNA from 1 species
AUUGAACGCUGGUGGCAGGCUUAACACAUGCAAGUCGAACGAGUGGCGGACGGGUGAGUAAUGCUUGGGAAUCUGGCUUAUGGAGGGGGAUAACGACGGGAAACUGUCGCUAAUACCGCGUACCAUAGGAUGAGCCCAAGUGGGAUUAGGUAGUUGGUGAGGUAAAGGCUCACCAAGCCGACGAUCUCUAGCUGGUCUGAGAGGAUGACCAGCCACACUGGGACUGAGACACGGCCCAGACUCCUACGGGAGGCAGCAGUGGGGAAUAUUGCGCAAUGGGGGCAACCUGACGCAGCCAUGCCGCGUGAAUGAAGAAGGCCUUCGGGUUGUAAAGUUCUUUCGGUAGCGAGGCGUUAACUACAGAAGAAGCACCGGCUAACUCCGUGCCAGCAGCCGCGGUAAUAC